UUCCUCUGGCAAGUAAAAAACUCUCAUUUUCCUUAAAAAAUGAGAGUUUUUUACUUGCAAUAGGAA
ensembl:miRNA MIR3128 microRNA 3128